GGUAAGCUAACUUCGGUUAGCCUAGAGCGGCGGACGGGUGAGUAACGCGUGGGAACGUGCCCUUCUCUAAGGAAUAGCCACUGGAAACGGUGAGUAAUACCUUAUACGCCCUUCGGGGGAAAGAUUUAUCGGAGAAGGAUCGGCCCGCGUUAGAUUAGAUAGUUGGUGGGGUAAUGGCCUACCAAGUCUACGAUCUAUAGCUGGUUUUAGAGGAUGAUC
rnacentral:rRNA from 1 species